GCCUAUUGCACUCAAGCAAAGGGGGCGAGGAGGGAGGACUACAAAUCCCAGAGGGCCCCGCGCGAAGCGACGGUGCGUGCGACGCAGUUGAAGAGCAGGAGGCUGCAUUUGUUGAGUAUUGUGCAGGAUUCAGACAGAAACACAGAAAAUGACAUCUUUGAUGAACCUUGUGGGGGUUCCAGUGGCCUCGAUUGAGCUCACUAGGACAACAGUUUCUGUUGGACUAUUUAUGCUCUUCCUUUGUCUUCUAUGCUGGUACUCAGUGGCACCAUACUCUCAGUUGAAAAGGGCUGGAAUCAAGCACCCGAAGCCAUUUCCUUUUGUAGGCAACAUGUUUUUCUUCCAAAAGGUGACAGAGCAGCACUCCAAAAAAGCUAAAUAUGAACAUGACACGCACCGCAACAGUCAGCUCAUGACAGUGACAGGAACCAAGGUCUUGUUUUCAACAGUAGAAAGUAUCAAAUUGACAUGAGCCAAAUCAAUGCCUUUGAUUCAAUUGACUUAUCAACCAGGAUGAGAACUGAUCCCACGAAAAUAGAAGAUGCACAGAAGAUGUUUACACCUGAAGAUAACAGUGAUCUACUAACGUGUCUCAGGGCUUUUUCGAGGGCCUGCAGGAGUUGGUGGAGAAGUAUGGCCAAGUUUGUGGGUACUGAUUUGGGUCUGACAAGAAGUGGCUAGUGGAAAAGUUGCUGAUUUGCUUUAAAUUUCCUGAUUUUCUUGCGUUCUAAUGGAAGAUUCCGUUAGAUUGGACAAGAGCGAUUGUAACUCUUCCAAUCGGAAGAAAGGGAGUCAGAAAGCUGGAAACUACAAGCAAUUAGCUUAAUGUCUGUUCAUGAGGAAGAUGUUGGAACUAUUCAUAAAGAUGUUGUAACAGGGCAUAUGGAAAAUUUCAAGGCAAUCAAGCAGAGCCACCAUGGUUUUACAUAAAGGGAAAUCAUACUAAACCAAUUUAUUGGAGUUUGGUGAACAAGUAGCAGUUGCUGUGGAGAAAGAGGAACCAGUGAAUGUGCCAGUGGAACCAGUAGCUUUAUUACACCUAUAAUUUGGCUGUGUGAGUCUCUGAAAGUACUACAGACUCGUCAUUCCAGCCGAACAGCUUGCCUUCUUUGCUAAUGCAACUUUUCCCCUGCUGUAGCAGCCUUUUUUGCUUGAAAAAUGUUCUUUACAGUAAUUCCAAGAUAUAGAUUUAUGUCUGGGCAAUGAAAUUUGAAAAUUAAUAAUUCAGGUAACACAUCUUCCUAAUAUCCUACUUAAAUAUGAAGACCAAAACUGCACACAGUACUCGAGGUGUGGUUCACCAACUCCCUAUACAAAUGUAUUAGUACUUGGCUUCUUGUAUACUCCAUCCUGCUUGCAAUCCAUUUGCCUUCCUGGUUGCUUGCUGUAUGUGCAUGAAAAUCUUUCCUGAUUGAUGUGUGAGGUCAUCCAGAUCUGUCUGUACUGCGACAUUCUCCUUAAAUAAUAUGAUUUUAAGUUUUUUGUACCAAAGUGUGUUGCCUCACAUUUUCUCAUUAUAUACUCCACCUACCAAAUUUUAGCCCACUCUCUUGGUUGCAUUUCUUUGAAGACAUUUUGGGUUGAAUUUUAUUAUGAGAGUGAGAUCCGCUAUCAAACCCCAGAAAAAGAAAUGCAACAAUGGUGCUGGAUGAAGGCUAGAAUUAAUGACCGCUUGAGGGAGUACUCCCGUCACCGUUGAAAUUUGCCUCACAAAGUGAAGGCCUGCACCAAGUGUUUACCCUGCCAAUUGAAAGCUAGCAGACUGGUGGCUGGGCAAGGGUCUAGGGGCAGUUUCUCCUUACUGUACACAUUGGAUGUGUUUCUGUUCUCCCCAGGCUCUUAUUCCCUCCCAAACCCUAUAAGGUAAUCCUUUCCCUGUGUUUCUUCCCCAAUUCCGUCCUGAUUCUGACAAUCCCAACACUACGACACUGCUCGCCAUGGCCUGUCAUCGCGGGCUCGCACAUAUCUUUCAGUUUGUUCCUUUGCUGCCUUUCCCUUUCUGGGAAUACAUGGAAAAUAAUGGAUUACCCAAAAAUAGCUAUCAGGCUGUUCUGUUUUGCUAAUUUCUGUGUCCCUCUUUCAUGAAUGGGAUGUUGCAACCUUUGUAAUCUACCAGGACCCUUCCAGAAUCUUGGGAACUUUGGAAGCCCAUGUACCUACUUUCUCUGCAGCACUUCUUUUACGAUGCUAGAAUGUAGGACUUGUUAGUUCCAUUAGAUAGCUUUAAGUUCCUUGCUCCCUUUUGCCCAUUGAUUUAUAAAUUUGAUAAAUGGUUUAUCCCUUCUUAUUAUAUUAUCCAUAUUGUUGGAUUGUUCUAUUGUUUUGUCCUUUCUUGUGCAUUUUCUAAAUUUUGUUUCAGCUGAAUCCUCCCCUCCACAGUUCAUUUUAUUGCUUCUUUAGCACUUACUUGAUUUCUAACUCGACUGGGGAGGUACCAAAAUGAACACACCAAACGUUUGAUGGUGGGAGUUUGGGGGUAGGUGGUUGGAGACUGGACGUCAUGUGAUGAAACUUCAGGGAAUGCAGCCAAACAGUUGGAAAAGAGGCAAUUGUUGAGUUCUCGAUUUUAGUCAGACUGAGCAAGUUGCAAGAUCAGGUUGGUGAGGUAACUGAGUGGAAAGACACACAGUGUUGUAAACUCAUCUGUGAACUCUGUAAAAGGAUUUCAGGAUUCUGGAAAUGAUUUGUCAGUUUAGUUAAAAAGCCAUUUAAUGUGUAACAUAGAUAUUGUUGCUAGUCUGAUCUUUAAUCCACGAUAGUCUUAUGUUUGGUAAUUACUUAUUUUAGACUUCAAUGUGAAAUAUGUGGUUAAUUGACAUUUUUGAUUUUCCAUCUAUCAGAAAGAUAUGGAAAGAAUGGCAAACAAUCGACAUCACUUCCUUGGCUGAUAAAAGGAUAAUUUGCUGACUUUGAGGCACACUAUGUCCCAUUCAACAUAAAAUAACAGCAACAACGUGCAUUUGUAUAGCUCCUUUAACAUAGUAAACUGUCCCAAGGCACACUUCAGUGGAGCACUGUCAAACAAAAUUUGACGCUAAGGAAAUAUUUGGUGACCAAAAUGUGGGCAAAGAGUUAAGUUUUAAAGAGCAUCUUCAAGGAUGAAAGCAAGGCUGCAAGUUUUAGGGGGAAAUUACAGAGUUUGGGGCCUUGGUGGUAGAACACAUGACUGCUGUUGGUUAUUCAAUUAAAAUCAGGGAUGUUCUAUGUAAGAAGAGACAUGCUACUGUUCACAGAAACUCCUUUUCAUGGGGAGCAAAUAUGGAGUGC